AUUUAACGCUGGCGGCAGGCCUAACACAUGCAAGUCGAGCGAGCGGCGGACGGGUGAGUAAUGUAUGGGGACUGCCCGAUAGAGGGGGAUAACUACUGGAAACGGUGGCUAAUACCGCAUACUAUCGGAUAACCCAUAUGGGAUUAGCUAGUAGGUGGGGUAAAGUCUCACCUAGGCGACGAUCGCUAGCUGGUCUGAGAGGAUGAUCAGCCACACUGGGACUGAGACACGGCCCAGACUCCUACGGAGGCAGCAGUGGGGAAUAUUGCACAAUGGGCGCAAGCCUGAUGCAGCCAUGCCGCGUGGAUGAAGAAGGCCUUCGGGUUGUAAAGUACUUUCAGUCGGGAGGCGUUACCGACAGAAGAAGCACCGGCUAACUCCGUGCCAGCCGCCGCGGUAAUAC
rnacentral:rRNA from 1 species